rnacentral:rRNA from 1 species
NNACUAACAAGGAUUCCCCUAGUAACUGCGAGUGAAGCGGGAAAAGCUCAAAUUUAAAAUCUGGCGGCUUUGGUCGUCCGAGUUGUAUUCUAGAGAAGUGUUUUCCGCGUUGGACCGUGUAUAAGUCUCUUGGAAUAGAGCGUCAUAGAGGGUGAGAAUCCCGUCUUUGACACGGACUACCAGUGCUUUGUGAUACACUCUCAAAGAGUCGAGUUGUUUGGGAAUGCAGCUCAAAAUGGGUGGUAAAUUCCAUCUAAAGCUAAAUAUUGGCGAGAGACCGAUAGCGAACAAGUACCGUGAGGGAAAGAUGAAAAGCACUUUGGAAAGAGAGUUAAACAGAACGUGAAAUUGCUGAAAGGGAAACGCUUGAAGUCAGUCGCGUUAUCUAGAACUCAACCAGGCUUGCUUGGUGUAUUUUCUAGUUAACGGGCCAGCAUCAGUUUUGACUGCAGGAAAAAGGCCAGAGAAAUGUGGCACCUUCGGGUGUGUUAUAGUCUUUGGUCAUAUACUGUGAUUGGGANUGAGGACCGCAGCACGCGCAAGCUGUGCUUAGGAUGCUGGCGUAAUGGCUUUAAACGACCCGUCUUGAAACACGGACCAAGGAGUCUAACAWGCCUGCGAGUAUUUGGGUGGCAAACCCGAGUGCGCAAUGAAAGUGAAAGUUGGGAUCCCUGUCGUGGGGAGCACCGACGCCCGGACCAGACCUUAUGUGACGGAUCUGCGGUAGAGCAUGUUUGUUGGGACCCGAAAGAUGGUGAACUAUGCCUGAAUAGGGUGAAGCCAGAGGAAACUCUGGUGGAGGCUCGUAGCGAUUCUGACGUGCAAAUCGAUCGUCAAAUUUGGGUAUAGGGGCGAAAGACUAAUCGAACCAUNNNNNNNNNNNNNNNNNNN